UACGAAGGGGGGCUAGCGUUGCUCGGAAUCACUGGGCGUAAAGAGCUCGUAGGCGGUCUGUCGCGUCUGCUGUGAAAACUCAGGGCUUAACCCUGAGCUUGCAGUGGGUACGGGCAGACUAGAGUGCGGUAGGGGAGACUGGAAUUCCUGGUGUAGCGGUGAAAUGCGCAGAUAUCGGGAGGAACACCGGUGGCGAAGGCGGUUCUCUGGGCCUUACCUGACGCUGAGGAGCGAAAGCGUGGGGAGCGAACAGG
rnacentral:rRNA from 1 species